CAGAGGCCUGGACUGCAUUUAGAAGGAAUGGAGGCCUGCCAGGUGGGCGGCGGGAGUAGCUAUGAAGCCACCGGGGCUGCCCACAAAUUCUGCAGCCCCACAGAAUGGAGAGGAGAAAGAAGUACCGAUGUGCCCACUGCCUCCUCAGCUUCCUGGCAGGAAAAAGUGGGCCUUCCUAAGGGUGCCCCAGCUCCCCCUGCAGCAAACCAUGGGAACAUGGGAUGCUACCCCAGCUUUCACAGAAGUUCUGCUUGACUUGAAAUAGAUUCUUGUUUCAUCGGUAUAGACGCUCUUCUUCUUGACAAAAACAAGAGCACAGGCCCAGAACUGAUUGCUGCAAAGCGAUGGACUAUGGUUCACCCAUCAGAUCUGACCCCUACAAGGCUAAAAAAGCUGGCUUGCAUUGUCUAAGCGCCAUUGGUUAGCCAUUACCAAGUCCAUUUCACAGAUAAAGAGGCUGAGGCUAAGUUGCUUAGCUGAAACCCACAGCAGCCACACCUCCUACAGGAAACCCAGUAUGGGAUGGAGGAAAAUCGAAUAAUGUGAUGAUGGCAUGGAUUUAAAAUGGCUUGAAGGCUGGGUGAGGUAGCUCAAGCCUUUAAUCCCAGCACUUCGGGAGGCUGAGGCUGGUGGGUCACCUGAAGUUAGGAGUUUGAGACCAGUCUGGCCAACAUGGAGAAACCCCGUCUCGGCCAGGCGUGGUGGCUCACACCUAUAAUCCCAGCUCUUUGGGAGGCCGAGGCGGAUGGAUCACGAGGUCAAGAGAUCGAGACCAUCCUGGUCAACAUGGUGAAACCCCGUCUCUACUAGAAAUACAAAAAUUAGCUGGAUAUGGUGACGUGCACCUGUAGUCCCAGCUACUUGGGAGGCUGAGGCAGGAGAAUUGCUUGAACCCAGGAGGCGGAGGUUGUGGUGAGCCGAGAUCGCGCCGUUGCACUCCAGCCUGGAUAACAAGAGCAAAACUCCAUCUCAAAAAAAAAAAAAAAAAAGAGAAACCCCGUCUCUACUGAAAAUACAAAAAUCAGCCGGUAUGGUGGUGGCACCUGUAACCCCAGGUACUUGGGAGGCUGAGGCAGAAGAAUCGCUUGAACCUGGGAAGUAGAGGCUAUAGUGAGCUAGGAUCAUGCCACUGUACUCCUGCCUGGGCAACAGAGCAAGACUCUGUCUCAAAAAGAAAACCACAUAUGACACUUGACCAAGGUCCAGCUUAGCCUGCUAUGGAAAUGCACCAAUGGCCCAGGAACCUGAGCCACACGUUGACCUGAGGCUACCUCUCAAGUAGACCCCUUGGGAACUUGAGGGUGGAGGCUUAUAGAACCUGGGGACAUUCUGCAUUGAAGUUUGGAGUUGGCCUGCCAAGCAACCCUUCCUGAUGGUGCCAGGAGGCUGGAAGGAAAAGGCAGCUCCUGGGUAGGGAACCUGGGUCACAGACCUCCACCAAGGCCAAGAGCACUAGCCUCUCCCUGGAGCUUAGAAGUGGGUAAUUUCAAUACCACUCUCACGCCCAGUCCUCUGAGGCAUCCACUGGCCUCACUGCAGACUCCGCCAUUUAUCUUGGGCUGAGGUUUUCAUCUUGUGCUAAACUCUGUAUCUUUCUUUCUGCUGCUGUGUCCCCACCCAAAGGCAGAUACCAGCUUUACACCCAGAUUUCCCUUUUAUACUCCGAGGUACAGAAAGCAAAGGUUAUGGGGGAUCUGUAAGAACGAUCCCUUCUCCCCAACCAGGCUUCUGAGCAGGAAAAUAUCCAACGGAGCUGGCAAGAAUCAGGGAAGACUUCAUGGAGGAAGUGGCAUUGGAGCUGGGAUGUAAAGAAUGAAAUGACAGAGAUGGAGAAUUCCAGACAACAAAGUGCGGAGUGCAGCUGGAGCAGUGCAGAGAUAGGCUGGGACUAGCCCAUGGGGAGCCUUGAAUGCCAGAGCCAGUUCUGCACCUGGGGCAGGAGGCAGGGAAGGAGACAGUGCAGAUGGCAAAUCCCCAGCCCCAGAAAACUUCAUCCACCACUCCAUCUGCUUUCCCAAGGCCUGGAGACCCCUUUCCAAAAGGCCCUGAAAAAGUCAGAAAACAAAAAUCCAAAAAAAGUCUCUGGAUGCAAGAAUGAAAUACCAGGUCAUGAAUAUGGAACCUGAGACUCAACAUCGGAGCUGAAGGAGACCACCAGCAAACUUUCAUCCUUCUCCUCGGGGCAGAUUGUCCCUGCCCAGGACUUAGAACACCAGGGUGCCUUCUCUGCAGAGGUUGGAUUCAUCACUGUGAGGCUGCUGAGCCAAGGGAUGGCUUGCAGUUCCGUUCCGGGGAGUGUUGCGUGUGUCAGAGAUGGGGUUUCUCUACAAAAUGAGGACCUUACUGUCCUUUGAAGUGAAGGACGUCGAUGAUCAAGAACAGCAGAUGCUUAAACAGGGGAAUGACCCACCUCCAGACACUGUUGUAGCUGCUGUAACUAGAGCUGUGAACUUAACCCUCUAAAGGCAGCAGACUGACACAGAUGUGGCAGAGAGAAAGCAGAACUACCCGGAAAGCCCCCUGACUUGCCAUCGGAACAGCAUGUGUGGCUUAGGGUCCACAGCUCCGUACAGGAACUCUCGUGCGUGUUCAAGUUUGAGAUCCUCCAGUCUGCGCUGAAGGGUGUCUGAGAAUGAAUGAUCAACUCCAGUUUCCUGGGAACGAACGGGGAGGGGUAGACCGAGGCUGCAGUAUGUUCCUGUAGGACGGCGGUGGGCCCUGUGCUAAUGUGGUCAGCUCUAUUCAUGCUGCAUACUGGAAAACGAGGCAUCAGGGUUGGAAGUGCUCUCUGUCUGGGGGCCACGUGGAAAGAUGGAUCAAGGAUGGAAGCGCUAAUGCUCCCAACAGUAGCCUGGCUGCAGAUCAACUGGGUCUGGAGCUAAGUCUUGCCGGAUUUAACGCACAGCCUGAUUAUUGUCUGGAAAGUUCUGGAGAGGAACUCAACCCACCUGUCUUUCCAGGCAGGUAUUUCCUUCAAGCUCUUUGAACCUCAACCCCUGCUGGGGAGCGGCCCCUGCCUGGGUUUACGUUCUAAACUUAGCAUGCAGGUCAAAGUGCAUUGGAGGUGUGCCUGCAACAGAGGCCAGGGCCCCGACUGGUGCUCUGUGUGCCAUUAUCCUGGAGUUGCAGGGAAGAGCAGGCACUAGAAUUUUGAAGAUGCUUCCCAGGCGAGGGCUGUGCACAGCCAGGGGUGACAGGCUCAGGAGCUGAGUGGGGGUACUGGGAGGAAGGUGAGAAUUGGACCCUGAUCUCACCAGCCAGGUGCUGCUUCAGGCCGGACCCCAGAAACACCUGUAAGGCAGGUCACAGAGACAAAGGACAGCUCAGGUCCCAAAAAGUCGAGAAGAGAGCUGGCCAGGGACCAGGUUUAAAAGUUAGAGCUGGGCCAGGUGGGAUGGCUCAAGCCUGUAAUCCCAGCACUUUGGGAGGCUGAGGUGGGCGGAUCACCCUAGUUCAAAAUCAUGCUGGCCAACAUGGUGAAAUCCCACCUCGACUAAAAAUACAAAAAUUAGCCCGGUGUGGUGGCGCACGCCUCUAAUUCCAGCUACUUGGGAGGCUUA